rnacentral:lncRNA from 1 species
UAUAAAAACAAACAAAAUACAUCCUUAGGAUUACACAUAUCCCUAUGGUAGCAAUUUUCCACAAUCCAUUAUUACCAGUGAAAAUAUUUGCAUUUGCCUGUGUUUCUAGAAAAUAAUACAUUGUGUAGUGAACAUGGCUUUAUAGCAAAGGUUAAUUGUGUAUGUAUUUGAUAUGUUUUCUUAGCUAUAAUGAAAAUGGACUAGGGGGUAGGGAAAAUCACAAAUUAUGAGCAUAUAUUUUUAUCAUCAUUUAUUAAAAUCAGCCAAAAAAUAAAAGCCUCAGUGAAAAUUAGCCUCAGACUAAUAUAGAUAAUAAUAAUAAAAGCCUCAGACUAAAAUGACAGGACAUGGACACGUCCAAUAGUAAGCUAUUAAAUCAGCUUCCCAAAUAAUGCCCUGAUUUGUGGAUGUGUUCCAAUUCUGUGAUAUAAAUACCACCAACAUAGCUAAUUCUGAGAUGACAAGAUAAUAUCACUGAGCAGAGCUGGGAAGAGAUGCCCAACAGCAAACUCCAGUACACCACUGUUUACACAGAAUAGCUCAUUUAAUCUUCACAACAAGCCAUAUUUAUAUUUUCCGAGUGUGUUUGUACUAAAUGGAUUCAAUAACUAUUAAUAGCAUUAAUGAAUUAAUUUACUUCAGUUGCAUGAAGCAUCUGAGGAGAAUAAUAUUUAGAAUUGAUAUUUACUGAGCACAUACUAUAUACCAAGUUCCAUGAUAAAGUGUUCAUAUAUAAAUUCAUUGCAUCUUUAAAAUGACACUAUGUGGUAGGUACUCUUAUUUAUAUAUGAAGAAACUGAGGUCCAAAAAGGCUUAAAUAACUUGCCAAAGGUCCUACAAAUAGUAAGUGUUGACCAAGAUCUAGAGUGGUUAACCAAUGACCUAUAUUACUUCUUAGUUCCUUUGAACAUGUUAAGUGCUGACAUGACUUAGCAACAAAAUGGAAUACAUAGAAAAUAGUUACAUAAUUCAUGACAGUGUAAAACAUAUUUCACUCAGAGUUUCGGUAUUUUUGAUGACAGAGCCUGCUUCAUUAAAAUAAAAUUAUAUACCUAUUGUCCCAUUAAGCCUAUUGUGAAUUACAUAUCAUAGGCAUGCAACAGAUGUUUGGCAACUAAAUGCAGACACCUGGACAUCACAUAUAUAUGGGACCCUGACAUAGAGCAACCCUUGGUGAGUUAUCCUCAAUAGCCUAGGCCAGGUCUCAUGAGGUAUUUAUUUAUUUAUUUAUUUUUAAAGUAGCCUACUUUGCUUUCUCCCAUUAAAUGUAAGUCAACUAUUCUAUUUCCUAACCACCUCCCCUUCCCCACGUGAGGAGGAAAGGAUAAAGUAUUUAUUUAAUAUGGAGGGUGCAUGUCAGGAAAAAGUGAAGAUUUGUUCUGAAAGAGGAAAUAGUGGAAGAGCAAAUACAAUGGAUCACUAAAUAUGAAGUUUCCAUAGGAAGCAAUUUUCUUCUCCCCUGGGAAUCCUAGGAAAUGCGGGCAGAGUGCAAACAUGUGGUCCUAAGAAGCUCUUUAGUCAUCUACCAGCUAAGACCCUGGCUUUUUGGCUGGAAUCACUCCCUGGGAAUUCAACUCACACUAGCCCCAUCAUCAUUUCUUAGUUUGUUUAGCCUGAGUGGCUAGGGCUUCUUUCCUUUUUUAAAGGGAACAAUUUAAACCAGAUUUUUUAAAUCCAUGCUAUUAAUUCUAUCCUUCUGUGGGUUCCAGGUUAUUAGAAAAUUCUAAUGUUGUUAUCAGAUCCUAUUUCUCCCCUAACCUUUUCCUUAAAUUCUUUCUGAUAGGGGCUAGGAUGCAGGCAAGCAGUCUGGGUUAAAGAGACUGAAAGACCCCAUCAAAGAUUCUCACAUAAGUACAUUGACGUCUUGAGACGAAGAGAGGGAAACCAACUGCCUGAACACCCGCUAAAAGGUCCAUUCCUGACACACUUUAAAGUUUAUUGUGAGCAAACAUCUCUUGUUAAAUGUAAACAGCAUCUCACUGGAGGUCACAGACUUGCUGCUGCAGCAUAUCCCAAGGUAAUACCACUUUAAGCUCCACAUAAACUCUUAAGCAGUUUCUAUCCUAAAACCUGACCGUAGGUGGUACUGUUUUUUACGAUAUGUUAUAAUAGUGCAAUAAAUCUGUUAGCUUAAAAUCGAAUCUCCGUGGCCUUUUAGAGAAAUCAUCAUUAAAUGCAGGGUCCUGUUAAUGAUGCCAUCGAAGUGAAAUUGUUUAAUCUGCUAAGGGGGUGAAAGGUCAUCAAAUGAAUUUUUUAUAAUACAUCAACUUGACACGCAAUAGGGAAAACUGUAAUAGAUAAAAGCAAAGGAAAAGGGCACUGUCUUCUUCUGAUAGGUCAAUAGCAGCCAAGAGAGUCACUCAUCCACUUUCCUUUCAUGAUGGGCUCCUUUUGCAUUUAAUAUGGACACCCAAUUAAUACCUCAGCACCACAGACAACCUCAUUUUAGGUGACUUAUAGCAAUUUCUCCCCCUUCCCUGAAAUGAAAGUGAUCACAAUACAUCAUAGCAUUGUGCGAAUUAACGUUAAUUGAUUCAAGUUACCAAGCAAUGAUGGGCCACUUAUAUAAUCUAGGCGUUAUUGGGUGCUAGAAGGGAUGGAGGGAAGAUUAGAUUCCAGUGUCCGUUGCUGUGACGACGGGAGUCACCUGAUGCCUUGUUAGACAGUUGUAAGGUUCUAUUGCUGGCCCCAGUGGGGUCGUCAGUAAACUGGAGUGAUGUCCAAACAUCAUUACAUGCUGCUCCAAUAUUAAAGCAAAGGGAUUAGCAACUUAUUGCAAGCAACCUGGAUUUGUCAUUGUGCUGUCGUUAUCCAAUUUCCAACUGCUAAUGUGACUGUAGCCUGCAGGCAGAAGGACCUACAGCCAAACUUUAAAAAAUGGGGGAGAAAAGUUCCCUCCAUUCAUCCCAGUUUUUACCAUUAUUUAAUAGCUUCCAAUACCCAGUUAGAUCUGAAAUGUUUACCCUGUAGAAGAUGGAAUUAUUUCUAUUUGCAUGGAAAACUCAGAAAGCAAAGACAAUGAGCUCAUGAGCAACUUGAGUACAGAUAUCAGCCUUAUUCACCUUUGCAUAUGUCCUUCUGCUCCCAUAUACUCAACCAGUGCCCGAUAUACAAACCAAGAGAGAAGAAACAUCAACAUUUCCUGAGUAUGUACCAUGUUCCAGCUAUUCUGAAAGUCUUUCAACCAACAGUUCUUAUUUUAUUUAAUUAUCAUAGCAAACUGAGCGGUGUGUUUUUAUUGCUUCCAUUUUCCAAAUAAGAAAGUUGAACUUGUAGCUGUACUUGAAGGACUGUGAGAUAACAGAACUAAAUGUUAGAAGCAGCCUGGUUCCCUGAGUCACCACCAGGAGGGCAGCUACCAGGAGAGUCACCCAACCUUCUUCAGGCUGAGAUGUGAGUAAAACAAAGUUUUUCUAUUCUUAAACAACUGAGAUUUGGAGAUUAUUUGUUAAUUGGAGUAACUCUGUCUCAUACAAUAUCCAUGUUUUAUGUAAAUAAAGAAAAUUUAAAAAGUAAGUACAUACAGAGAGGCAAUGAACAAAUAAUGCUGAGGUCCCAGUUAGUUUAGAAGCAAAAGGAAGAGAAAAAUACAAGCAAUCUGACAUUGUGACCUACACUACAGCUACCAUUUAAAGAGGCUCCAAGGGGAUCUAUAGGACAUCGUUGUCUUCAUUCUGUGCUCUUGGAAGUUCACUAAGAAAUGACUGUGGAUAAGGUUUGCCCUGCUAGAUAUUCCCCCACUUGAUGGCCAGCUUAAAACUGAUUUAGAAGAUUUUAGAGACUGCUAGGGAUUCACAGCUUUACUAAGGUCUGAAAAGCAAGCACUUAAGCAGCAUACUGCAUGCCAAGAAACAAAAUCAGAAGGUACAAGCAGCUGGUUUGACCUUUGAGAAAAGUUUGGCAAAAGGGCAAGAGCAUAUUUAUAACUCCUAUGGGACAGUUCAUGUGCUUUCCAUUGGACUUGCUCUGUGUCAAAGGCCAAUUUCCAUCCAUUAUGAUUCACUAAGUUAGUUUUAUGAAUAUUAUGUUUAGAGAAAAUCACACACUGGGUCAAAAGCAAAAUUAGAGCAUAUCCAUCAUUGGGAAGUUUAUCAUUUCACCAACUAUAAAAUUCUUUUUGCUUGAAUUUAAGGCUGAUUUUCCCUGAAAUACAUGAUUUUCCAGAUAAAACUAGCCACUGAUCUUUCAAGAAUAGUUUUCUGGGUCAAUAGAAGCCGCCUUCUGGGAAAAUAUUACACCCCAUUACACAUCUGGCCAAUUCUUUGAGGCCAUUCAAACUGUUAGGAGUAAGAGUGGGAGAAUUCCUUCCUGUCCUCUGAGACAAUCAUUUUAUACCCCAAAACUUCAACCUCGUUAUUCUUAUCUUAGGGCAUAAUUACAAUGUUAUUAUUGGUCAUAAAAUUAACCAGAUUUUCCUCUCUUUUCUUUUCCUCUUCAGCAUUUGACUCCCUGACCUUCUUCAACAGAAAAGUCUAUGGGCUGAUUAUACGCUAAGAAUAGAAGUAUUUCCUCUUACUUGUUUUAAAUUUUCCCACUGUUAAUUUCUUUGAGAGCAUACUUGUUCUCAUAUUACAAAACAAUGUUAAAAAAAAUUUUUUUAAAGAAUUUUUACUACUUCUAUAAAAUCUGAAAAUUUUUGCUCUUGUAUCCCAGUGUUUCUGAGAUUGGUCCCUUUCGUUAUCUCACCAUCCAGAGGUCCUAGCCUACAUUUACGUUGGCCUAUAGUUACAUGAUUCAACUUAUAACCUAAGGCCCCUUGCCAGUUGCUCCCUGCACUUCACUUUACUAUUUCCCGAAGCAACUUCUUUGUUUUAGUUGAGGAGGGUUGCUACCUUCCUGUGGCAGUGGUUGCCAAAGUAUUGUUUUAAGAAUCAUUACCAGGCCAUGUAAGGACUUGGUAGAAAAAAUGGUUUUAUAGGUUAGCAGUCUGCUGGUGUGAGGGGUGGAAGAUAUGGUGGAGCCUUGGAAAACUCACUGUCAGGAAAACACAGCUAUACCUCCUAUGCAGACACUUUGCUCAACAGCACUUAGGCACAACUUACCUGCUGUCUAACCCAGAACUCCAUCCAAAUUCCAUUCCACUUAUCCACGUCUGACACUUCUUAAGUUUCUAUAAAGAUUUUUCUAACACUCUUUCUCUGCUGAUCACUGGCUGACAAAAUUCAUUCUAUAAUUCACUCUGAAAUUGACAGCAUUGUCCUAGAUGGAUGGCAUGCUUGGAUGACAGCACCUAAAUCUUACCUAGAGAUUCAAGGUGAGAAGGUUUUUGAACCCUUAACUCAUGUUCACCUUGUAAAGAAGGAUGAUCAUCCUUCUACUGUUUAUAUUAAAAUGAUUAGACUUGGUAAUCUUUAAAACCACAACAAAAGCUGGACUUCUUUCCAAAGAACCAGAACGCUUUACCUCUGACUUUGUCUUCUGCUAAUUCCCUUCCUGGUCAUUCUGCUCAAGCCACUCUGACUUCCUUGCUAAUCCUCACACACUGCAGGCACUCUCCCCACUUGGGGACUCUGCCAAGGCAGAUCUCUCUACUUUUCUCCCAGGUGUUCCUGUGGCUCAAUCCCACACCCUCUUCUCUGUCUCCUUCUCAGUGAGGCCUACUUUGGUCAGCCUAUGUACAAGCAUUCUUUUUGCUUUCUAUGAUGCUCUACAUUUUUUCUUUUGUCUAUAGCACUUAUAACUUUAUAAUCUACUAGAGAAUUUACUUAUUUAUUAUGUAUAUUACUUAGUCACUCCUCUAAGUAAGCUAAGAAAGUAAGCCCUAUGAGAGCAGGGUUAUUUGUCUAGUUUUGACACUUUACAACUAGCCAGAAAAGCACCAGGCACAUAGUAGACUCAGUAAUAUGUGUUAAAUUGAAUAAACUUAAUGCAUCCAUUCGUUUUCAAUGAUUAACUCUAGAAUUUUCCUGAUUCGCUCAGAUUGAAAUUGAACAUUCAAGUUGAAACUAUGAUCUACUCACUUGCAUGUUUGAAAUCUACAAGGACAACUUUCUAAAAAUAUUUUGCAAGGACUGUAUAUUUCAUAUGUCUUUCAGAGGCCAGAUAUGAAGUUACAUUUUCUCAGGUACUCCACUUUCUCUUGGUUUUCAGAAAAGUUGAUGUUCUUGCCCUCCUGAAAUCAUGGCACCAAAAACGGGGAUGUAAGUUCUUUCAUUGUCAAGAGUGAAUGAGAAGGAAAGGGGAAAAGAGGAGCAGGGAAGAAAUGGAUAAUACUAUUUCUAGUACCCUUCCUUCACAGAGAGGAAUGAAUUAAACAUGAGGCAAGAAGGUCACCAAGUUAGUUAGGCAUAUGAAUUAAAUCAGAUUGUCUGAAGAAAGUACUCUAUGAAGAUAGGGCACAGAGAAAGAAUACAACAAAAAUCAGAUGAUAAAAAAUGAAAAAAAAAGUUGCAUUUGUAUGGCACAUUUUAAUAUGUUAAGUACUAAUAAUAACUCUUGCCAUUAUGUGUUAAUAAUAGAUCCUUUUCUGUAUCAGCUAUAUUGUAUGCAUUAUAUAUAAAUGUUGACAACAUGAAAGAUAAUUCCUGUAUUUCUAUUCUACAGAUAACUAAACCUAAGCUCAUGGUGUUAAAUAUCCAUAGACACCCAUCUAUUCAGUGGCCAGCAGGGCCUGAAGCCAUAUGAUAGCCACCAUUGCACACAUUUUGCCACCAUGUCACCUGUUAUCAUUUGCCCUUCACAACAACUUUAAAAGGCAGAAAUAAGAGGUGGGAUUUCCAUUUGCCUGAUGAAAAAACUGAGUUUCUUAAAAUUUAGUACUUGCCCAAAGACAAAGUGAAUUAAUUAAAUACUGGUCUCUUGACAUCUGUGUCUAAUGUUCUUGUCAUAACAUGAUGUUCUUGUCAUAACAUGAUGCUCUUGGUGUUGGUAAUAAAACUAAUGUUUCUCAAAUAGAGGAUGAAUUUGUGAGUUAGUAAAUCAGUUCAGUUUUGACACUGCAAUCUCCAAAGAGAUCCUAAAAUUAUUUUCAUAUUUUCAAACGAUGUGGAUUAAUACUCAGUAUCAGAUUGCAUUCUACAAAUAGUAUUGCCUUGAGAUCCAUCCACUUGAAUUAACCAAAAAAUACUACUAAUUAACUAGACUUGAGAAAGGGCUGGUACUAGGCAAUGUGACUUUUUUAUGUCAUAUGUCACCUGGAUUACAUUUUCACUCUGAUGUACAUGUCAUUGACAGCAGUAGGCUGCUAGAAUUUGACACCAUGAAUUUAUCUGAUGAAGUGCACAGAAAGAGAUCUGUUUAUUAAUUCGUAAGCACAAUCUAGAGCCAUUUUAUAAUACAGUAUUUCCCCCUUCACAGAAUGAAUCAGUACUUGACUGAUUUAAGUAUAAAAUGCCUUGGUUUGUUAAACACAACCCCAUAUUGGGGAGAAUUGGACUUGGGUUCUACUAGCAGUUGUCCCAAAAUUUGCUAUUCUUAAACAAGUUGUCUUCCCUCUCAGGACUUCAAAGUCACCAUCAAAAACUUAGAAACAUCUCAAGUUAACAACCUAAUAUCACAACUAAAACAACUAGAGAACCAAGAGCAAACAAA